ACGCUCGACACCUACGGUAGGCAGCAGUCGGGAAUAUUGCGCAAUGGAGGAAACUCUGACGCAGUGACGCCGCGUGCAGGAAGAAGGUUUUCGGAUUGUAAACUGCUUUAGACAGGGAAGAACAAAUGACAGUACCUGUAGAAUAAGCUCCGGCUAACUACGUGCCAGCAGCCGCGGUAAUCUGAGCGGGCUGGCAAGGC
rnacentral:rRNA from 1 species